rnacentral:rRNA from 1 species
AGAACGAACGCUGGCGGCAGGCCUCAAACAUGCAAGUCUAGGGGGCGUAGCAAUACGUCACCGGCGGACGGGUGCGUAACACGUGGGAAUGUACUUAUUGGUUCGGAACAACUCAGGGAAACUUGAGCUAAUACCGAAUGUGCCCGAAAGGGGAAAGAUUUAUCGCCAAUAAAUCAGCCCGCGUCCGAUUAGCUAGUUGGUGGGGUAAAGGCCCACCAAGGCGACGAUCGGUAGCUGUUCUGAGAGGAAGAUCAGCCACACUGGGACUGAGACACGGCCCAGACUCCUACGGGAGGCAGCAGUUGGGAAUCUUGGACAAUGGGGGAACCCUGAUCCAGCCAUGCCGCGUGAGUGAUGAAGGCCUUCGGGUUGUAAAACUCUUUCGACGGGGACGAUAAUGACGUACCCGUAGAAGAAGCUCCGGCUAACUUCGUGCCAGCAGCCGC